GAAAUGUUUGUGUGUGGGGGGGGGGGACUGGUGGGUUGUCUAACAUUUUAUUCUGCUUUUGGGAGGGUAGUGUAUUUGUUUUAUUGGGCACAGGGGCAUGUUUUUUCCUUGAUUUACAUUCACUAUAUAAUGUAUUCUACUGUAUAUAGCCACAUUUCCUCAUCUGCUUGCACUUCUUCUAUAAAGGUGUUUGGUACUUGUCUUAUGCACUAUGUUUUCCACAUGCUUACUACAGAUUUACACCACAUAAACACUCAGCCAUUUUCACUGGACUAUCAAGCCCCUGUUGCUGCCAAAUUUAUCAUCACUAAUAUAGAUGUUUCUUUUGAUCAUUUCAGAUUCAGCAUCUGGAGUACCUGCUUUAUCAGGAGCAUAACCUAGAAUCUGGAUACACUGUGACAAUGGGGUCAUUGUUCCUGACAUCCCAUGCCUCCUGUCUUCUGAGAAUCUUGCUGUGCUCCAAUGUCAAUUGAACCCUACCACUAACUCCUCAUAUUUUGGUCAGGACAUAUACAUACAUGCUCUUCGAUUACUUAUGAGUCUCCAGCCAUUUUAGGUGCAGUCCUCCCACACGAUGGAUAUUGUUUUAGCCCCAGUGCCACUCUUGAUAAUGGCAAACAUUUGGAUUUUUUUGGAGGAGGGUGAAAGGAUAACAGGACCAGCUGUCAAAGUGAGAGAGUAGGCUAUUCUGGAUAGAGCAGCAGGUAUGUUUUGAUGUGAGAGAGGAAGCCAGUCCCGUCAUCACCACCUCACCCGCUCUUAAGAUAACCUUCUGACUGGGAGCCCAAGGCUGGCUAGGAGACACUGCUGGAGACAUUAUUAUGUAAUUGUGAUGAACUGAGAGAAUAUUAGUGUAACACUGUAAUUCAUUAAUCAUAUGCUGUCUUCCCUGUUCCUCUGUUUUACCUUUUCUGUCUUCUACACCUCUACCUCUACCUCCUCUUUCUUCCUCUUUUUUAUAACGCACACCAUAUGUGCAUUGAAGUACAGAUUGAACUUGUAUUUAGAACAUACUAUUACAAUUCUAAUAUUUAUAAUGCAUGUAUUAUGUAUUUAUAACACCUGUAUAAUGACAUUUCAAUAAAGCGUUUCACAUUCUC